rnacentral:lncRNA from 1 species
AGCAUGUGCCUCUGGUCCCAGCCUUCCUAUCCAGGCCUUUCCUCCAUGGGCAGGCCCAUUGGUGUCCUCAGAGAUCCAGCUGUGUUCUCCCCAAACCCUAAGGCCCUUCAGCUCUGGUACUUCAAAGGGCUUAGGAGCAUCCAGGCCAGCAUUACCUUUGUGUGUGUUAUCAGCUCUGUGCCAGGAACUUCACAUAUGCUCUCACUGAAUCAUCACAUCAAUCCCACAGGGUAGAAUUAUUAUUCACAUUUUAUUUAUUUUUAUGUGUUUAUUUUAGGGACAGGAUCUCUCUCUCAUCCUGACUGGAGUACAGUGAUGACAUCCCAGCUCACCGCAGCUUCGACUUUCCAGGCUCAGGUGAUCCUCCCACCUCAGUCUCCUGGGAGACUACAGGCUCUUGAUCCAUUCCUAUGGUGGGUGACAUAAUGGCCCUUCCGAAGAUGUCCGUGUCCUAAUUCCUGGAGCCUGUGAAUACACUGGCUGCAUGGCAAGGGUGGAGAUUAAGGUUGCAGAUGGAAUGAAGGUUCCAGCUCACCUUAAAAUAGAGAUUAUCUUGGGUUAUCCGAGUGGACCCAGUGUAAUCACAAGGUUUCUUUAAAUGUGAAGGAGAGAGGCAGGAGAAGAUCUACCCUGCUGGCUUUGAAGUUGGAAGGGUGCCACAAGCCACAAGUGAAGGAAUGUGGGCAGCCUCUAGAAGCUGAAAAAGGCAAGAAAGUGGAUUCUUUCUUAAAACACCCAGAAGGGAACACUGCUCUGCAGGCACCUUGAUUUCAGCCUUGUGAGACCCAUUUUGGACAUCUGACCCCCAGAACUGUAAGAUAAUAAAUCUGUGUUGUUUGAAGCCAUC